rnacentral:rRNA from 1 species
CAGAUUGAACGCUAGCGGCAGGCCUAACACAUGCAAGUCGAGCGAGAAAGCACUUCGGUGUGAGUAGAGCGGCGGACGGGUGAGUAACGCGUAGGAAUUUGCCCAGUAGUGGGGGACAACAUGUGGAAACGCAUGCUAAUACCGCAUACGCCCUAUGGGGGAAAGCAGGGGAUCUUCGGACCUUGCGCUAUUGGAGAAGCCUGCGUCGGAUUAGCUAGUUCCUUUACCCCACCAAGGCGACGAUCCGUAGCUGGUCUGAGAGGAUGAUCAGCCACACUGGGACUGAGACACGGCCCAGACUCCUACGGGAGGCAGCAGUGGGGAAUAUUGGACAAUGGGGGCAACCCUGAUCCAGCCAUGCCGCGUGUGUGAAGAAGGCCUUAGGGUUGUAAAGCACUUUCAGUAGGGAGGAAAAGUUAGUCGUUAAUAACGGCUAACCCUGACGUUACCUACAGAAGAAGCACCGGCAAACUCCGUGCCAGCAGCCGCGGUAAUACGGAGGGUGCGAGCGUUAAUCGGAAUUACUGGGCGUAAAGCGCACGUAGGCGGCUUUUUAAGCUAGAUGUGAAAGCCCUGGGCUCAACCUAGGAACUGCAUUCAAAACUGCUGGACUAGAGUACGAUAGAGGGGGGUAGAAUUUCAGGUGUAGCGGUGAAAUGCGUAGAGAUCUGAAGGAAUACCGGUGGCGAAGGCGGCCACCUGGACUAAUACUGACGCUGAGGUGCGAAAGCGUGGGGAGCAAACAGGAUUAGAUACCCUGGUAGUCCACGCCGUAAACGAUGUCAACUAGCCGUUGGGAGACUUGAUCUCUUAGUGGCGCAGCUAACGCACUAAGUUGACCGCCUGGGGAGUACGGCCGCAAGGUUAAAACUCAAAUGAAUUGACGGGGGCCCGCACAAGCGGUGGAGCAUGUGGUUUAAUUCGAUGCAACGCGAAGAACCUUACCAGGUCUUGACAUCCUGUGAACUUUCUAGAGAUAGAUUGGUGCCUUCGGGAACUGAGAGACAGGUGCUGCAUGGCUGUCGUCAGCUCGUGUUGUGAGAUGUUGGGUUAAGUCCCUAAACGAGCGCAACCCUUAUCCUUAGUUACCAGCGAGUUAAGUCGGGCACUCUAAGGAGACUGCCGGUGAUAAACCGGAGGAAGGUGAGGACGACGUCAAGUCAUCAUGGCCCUUAUGGGUAGGGCUACACACGUGUUACAAUGGGUGGUACAGAGGGUUGCCAAGCCGCGAGGUGGAGCUAAUCCAAGAAAGCCGAUCUUAGUCCGGAUUGCAGUCUGCAACUCGGCUGCAUGAAGUCGGAAUCGCUAGUAAUCGCGAAUCAGAACGUCGCGGUGAAUACGUUCCCGGGCCUUGUACACACCGCCCGUCACACCACGGGAGUGGGUUGCAAAAGAAGUGGGUAGACUAACCUUCGGGAGGUCGCUCACCACUUUGUGAUUCAUGACUGGGGUGG